GUUCCCGCAGGGCUCCGGGCGGCCGUGACCCUGCUGGAGUGCGGGGGGGACCUCCAGCCCCCCGGGGGGUCCCUGCGCCUCCUCUGCCGAGGGGCUGGGUUCGAUUUUGGGAGAUUUGGGAUGUUCUGGAUCCGCCAGAGAGCCGGGCAGGGGCUGGAGUGGCUCGCAGGGAUACAUGAUGAUAGUUCCGGAACCUUCUACGCGCCAUCACUCAAGGGUCGGUUCACGAUCUCCAGGGACAACGGGCAGAGCUCGGUGACGCUGACCAUGACCGACCUCCGGGACGAGGAUUCCGGAUCCUAUUUCUGUGGGAAAUCUUCUAAUACUGGUGCUUAUGCUGCAUAUCGUAUUGAUGAUGGUGCCACCCCAAUCCCCGAAUCCCCCCCCGCCCCAGACCCCAGACCCUUCCCCCACACCCCCAGCCCACCCCCAGCCCAUGACCCUUGA